GACGAACGCUGGCGGCGUGCCUAAUACAUGCAAGUAGAACGCUGAAGAGAGGAGCUUGCUCUUCUUGGAUGAGUUGCGAACGGGUGAGUAACGCGUAGGUAACCUGCCUGGUAGCGGGGGAUAACUAUUGGAAACGAUAGCUAAUACCGCAUAAAAUUGAUUAUUGCAUGAUAAUUAAUUGAAAGAUGCAACUGCAUCACUACCAGAUGGACCUGCGUUGUAUUAGCUAGUUGGUGAGGUAACGGCUCACCAAGGCGACGAUACAUAGCCGACCUGAGAGGGUGAUCGGCCACACUGGGACUGAGACACGGCCCAGACUCCUACGGGAGGCAGCAGUAGGGAAUCUUCGGCAAUGGGGGGAACCCUGACCGAGCAACGCCGCGUGAGUGAAGAAGGUUUUCGGAUCAUAAAGCUCUGUUGUAAGAGAAGAACGGGUGUGAGAGUGGAAAGUUCACACUGUGACGGUAUCUGACCAGAAAGGGACGGCUAACUACGUG
rnacentral:rRNA from 1 species